rnacentral:rRNA from 1 species
UACGGAGGGUGCAAGCGUUAAUCGGAAUUACUGGGCGUAAAGCGUGCGCAGGCGGUUUGUUAAGUCUGCUGUGAAAUCCCCGAGCUCAACUUGGGAAUUGCAGUGGAUACUGGCAAGCUGGAGUACGGUAGAGGAAGGUGGAAUUCCCGGUGUAGCGGUGAAAUGCGUAGAUAUCGGAAGGAACAUCAGUGGCGAAAGCGGCUUCCUGGUCCAGCACCGACGUUCAGGCACGAAAGCGUGGGGAGCAAACAGG